rnacentral:rRNA from 1 species
UACCAGCCCCCUGAGUUAUAGGGACGAUUAUUUAGCCUAAAGCGUUCGUAGCCGGCUUUGCAAGUCUUUCGUUAAAUCUAACGACUCAAUCGUUAGGCCGCGGAAGAUACUGCUAGGCUUGAGGGCGGGAGAGGUCGACGGUAGUCCCGGGGUAGGGGUGAAAUCCAAUAAUCCCGGGAGGACCACCAGUGGCGAAGGCUGUUGACUAGAACGCGCUCGACGGUGAGGGACGAAAGCUGGGGGAGCGAACCGGAUUAGAUACCCGGGUAGUCCCAGCUGUAAACUAUGCGGGCUAGGUGUUGGGGUGGCUACGGCCACUUCAGUGCCGCAGGAAAGCCAUUAAGCCCGCCGCCUGGGGAGUACGGCCGCAAGGCUGAAACUUAAAGGAAUUGGCGGGGGAGCACCACAAGGCGUGAAGCUUGCGGUUC